CACCGCUGGCGGCGUGGCUAAGACAUGCAAGUCGAACGGACCAUUAAUUUAUUAGUGGUUAGUGGCGUAAGGGUUAGUAACAGGUGGGUAACGUACCCUGNUGCUUUGGGAUAGCGUCAGUCCCUUAGGGGACUUUCCGAAUGGGGCGGUAAUACCAGAUAAUAUCAUCUGUCGAUAGGCAGAUGAUCAAAGAUUUAUCGGCACGGGAGCGGCCUGCCUCCUAUCAGCUUGUUGGUGAGGUAACGGCUCACCAAGGNCGACGACGGGUAGCGGGACUGAGAGGUUGGCCCGCAACAUCGGGACUGAGACACUGCCCGGACCUCCACGGAGGGCUGCAGUGACGAAUAUUGCGCAAUGGGCGAAAGCCUGACGCAGCGACGCCGCGUGUAGGAGGAAGUCUCUCGGGAUGUAAACUACUGUCAGGGGGUAAGAAAGUGCGCUUCGGCGUAUUGAUCCCACCCAGAGGAAGUCACGGCUAACUUCGUGCCAGCAGCCGCGGUAAGACGAAGGUGGCGAGCGUUGUUCGGUAUCACUGGGCUUAAAGCGUGUGUAGGCGGAAAAGUAAGCGUUUUGUGAAAGCCCCCGGCUUAACCGGGGAAUUGCGUGACGAACUGCUUUUCUUGAGGCAGUAGGGGUGCAUGGAACUCUGGGUGGAGCGGUGGAAUGCGUAAAUAUCAAAGG
rnacentral:rRNA from 1 species